UUGGAGUCGAUCUAGCGAUGUACGUACGUCGGUACAUUUUCAAAGAAAAUAAUUUACUGCACAGAAAGAGGAAGGAUAAUCCGAUUUUGCUCCAACUUUGCAUCAGGUCUGGUGGGUAAUCGACAAUAUCAGUUCACUCCAUAAGUACCUUCCCCACAAAGGGUCAUAAUUUUGAAUAAUUAUAACUUUUAUAUAAUGCAAUGUCUGGUGUGAAGAUGGGAUAUAUUGGUCCACUCCUUCUGAUACCUCCCCCACAAGGGGUGAAAAUUUUGAAUAUCCCUGAAGCUCAUAAAACGCGAAAUUAACAUCCGAUUCUAUUCAGACUUGGUACAUCUCAUUAUUUCCAUCAACACUAGAUAGAAAGCGGGCCAUUUUUUCUGGUACCUCCCCCACAUAGGGUUCAAGAUUUGAAAAACAAAACGCUUAAGGAAAGCGAAAAAUCAUCCGACUCUUUUUAAAUUUCACACAUCCAAAACAUUUUUGCUAACACAUGAUCUGUUGUGAAAAUGAUAUAUAUCUGCCAACGUCUUCUGGUAUCACAACCACAAAGGGUCACAAUUUCCAAAACUUUUAUUUGUCACAUAACUUGCAAAACAUGUCUGCGAUUGUUUACAACUUGCUAUAUAUUAAUAUUUCUCUCAACCUGAAAACUGAGAUGAAUGCGGAAUUGACAUUUGAUUUCGCAUAAAAUUGGAUAUAAAUGCUAGAUUUUCUUGUAAUUUUGCCCAUACCAAUAUUUUUAGCUGUAUUAGAUAAAGUGGGGAAAUGGAAUACUUCGGUCGACCAUAUCUGGUACCUCAGGCACAUUUUAAUAUUUUCUAAAAAUUAUCACAUGUCUCAUAUAAAGUGAAGGAAGUAACACGGAUGGUCCGUGGCACGUCGCAAUAUUUAUAUCAUAUUUGUUUAGGACCGAUAUGAAAUGAACAAUAUUGGCCCAUUCCUUCGGAAGCUACUCUCCAUAGAGGGACAACAAUUAAUAAAUAAUCAUAAAACAAAUCAAAAUAUAUUGAAAUAAUCGGGCAUUGACUGAGGGUAUACAUCUGUCGGCUAAGCCGACUGAGACUUUUUAACUUCUUAAAAUAAAAAUCCCUAUUUGAUGAA